GAUGAAGAACGUAGCGAAAUGCGAUAAGUAAUGUGAAUUGCAUAAUUCAGUGAAUCAUCGAAUCUUUGAACGCACAUUGCGCCCGCCAGUAUUCUGGCGGGCAUGCCUGUUCGAGCGUCAUUUCAACCCUCAGGCCCCCAGUGCCUGGUGUUGGGGAUCGGCCCAGCCUUCCUGUAAGGCCGCCGGCCCCGAAAUCUAGUGGCGGUCUCGCUGUAGUCCUCCUCUGCGUAGUAGCACAACCUCGCAGUUGGAACGCGGCGGUGGCCAUGCCGUUAAACACCCCACUUCUGAAAGUUGACCUCGGAUCAGGUAGGAAUACCCGCUGAACUUAAGCAUAUCAAUAAGCGGAGGA
rnacentral:misc_RNA from 1 species